UUUUACAAAAAACAUUGUUUUUUUUCAAAAUAUUAUGUUUUUUCAGAAAAUAUUGUGUUUUUUGGCAAAUAUGGCUUAUUUUUAUGAAAAUAAUCUUACUGAUCAAGCCAGUGUGCGAGAUCUGAUAGCAAUAUAUGUGGGAUCACACUCUCUAUUUUCUGAAACCAUCUGCGUGCACUUCAAUUGCAGGAUAUAUGAUCGCCUAUGGAAUCAAUUAGAGUUAAUUGGAAAUGAGCAAGUUGUGCUGAUGUAGGAGUCACUGCAUACUCUAUAUGUAGAUACAUUCAUACGUAAUGAAAAAGAGAUAAAAGUAUAUGGUUGGCUAUAAUAUGGAAAGUUUAAAAAGUUAAAAUCCACAAAGCAUAAAGUAUAAAUAUGGAAUCUGGAAGCACUGAAAAAGCAUUGUAUUGAAUCUGGAUACUAUGUAGAGAGAAAAAUAAGAUAUGUUUGACUAUAAUCAAGAGAAUGC